rnacentral:tRNA from 1 species
GUCCUUGUAGCUUAUAUAAAGCAUGACGCUGAAGACGCCAAGAUGGUCGCUAUACGCACCCAAGGACA